GAUACCCACCCCCACCGCUCCUGGGACUGUUGCGGGGUGGGUCCGGAGCUUCGUGGUGUGGUUUGGGAAUAUCCGUAGACCUUUGGUUCACGGUGUUGGGCCACGGGAACGCUUCGCCGCCGCAGGUAGUAGGCUGUUUUCCAUGUGUUCCCUCGGCUGUUUUCCAGCACCAGCGCCACACUACACACACGUUCUCGAAUCCUAGGCCAACUCAGCGGCUCCUCCCAAAGCUCCUCUCUCAGGUCCCUUGCCGGAGUUUCUCCUUGUCUAGCAAGCAUCUCCCUCUGGUGGGUUGUCUGUCAUUUCAGCCAGACUUUUGCACGCGUGUCGUUCUGAAACGGCCCAGAAAUCGAAUACAGGCUUCCAGAACCCUUCCUACCUUUUCUCGACGAACAUGAUGAAGAAUUGGUGACAAAGGUGGAGGAGCCAAGCACCUUCCUAGGGGCUCGAGAAGCCACCACUGCAAAGAGAGGUAAAGGGGGGCAUUCAGAAAAGGCUGGAGAGCUGGGAUCCCCGAGCUUUGUUCUACCAGGCCCAGUCUAGCGGAAAGUAGGGUGAUGCACAGCCCCGGAACGACCUCGCCCGGUCCUCGGCUGCUUCCUCAAGGCUCCUGGGACGUAGUUUGCUUUAGUCCGCACCAUGUUCACACAGGAAGAGACAACUCGCACCGACACCCCAGUUGCGGAUGUCUUAACUGGACAAGAACCCGAAAAUGACGUUCCCGCCACAGUUUAAAUGGUUCUCUUUCCCGCGCGCUCCAAGCUCUUGAGAACCGUGGCUCUUAUUGGUUCCGCGCCUUCACCCUGAACCAAUUGGCAGCGUCCAGCGGGUGACAGCCUCGAGACCAGGCUUUGCUGGCCAGUCCAUCAGCCCCAGUGGUCGUGAUUCGUACCCACUCCUGGUGGGCGGUGCCAGGACUCCAGGGGUGCGCCAAGUGUGGGCACGGAGGUAGGUUGUGAACUAGCCAAAUGGAUCGGCUUAUAAAAGAAAACAUAGUAAAGAUAGGAAUUGCAAUAUGUCUUCAAAAGUUACCACAGAGUUAAAUCCAUGGUGAUUAAACCCUGAAAGUUAAAAUUAAAAUUAAGUUGCUUUUUCGAUGCAAAUCAAAGCUGAAGUUUAAUAUCCUUAAUAUCUGCAGUGUUUUAAAUUAACUUUCUGCGGUGGGAAAAAGGAAAACGCAAUU